rnacentral:sRNA from 1 species
AAACGUUGUGUACGUUUAAAACUUAAAAUAAAACGAAAAUGUACGCCUUAUCAAAUUCUGAACCAAAUUUGUGGACUUCAACGGAGAUUUUUAAAUGGGUGAGCAUUUCUGUUAUGACUAUUCGUAAGUAGUAUUUUCUCUAGAUAUGUAAAAUCUGCCAUGACAAUUCUUAAUAGAAGGAUUUUGCAUUCCGAAGUGAUAGUUGAGAGUGACUUGAAUUAUGACCAUACGAAUGUUUGUGCCUACACAACCUUUUCUAUGUGCCCUAUGAAACAUAAAACCAACUAAUUGAACAUGUUUGUUAAUUUUAUUUACAUAUGCGGUUUUAUUCCAAGUGCCCUUAAGAAUUCAAUUAAAAUUAUUGAUUAAAGCAAACAAAUCAUUGAA